GAUAUGGUAGCUCAGUGGUUAAGGUGUUGGACUACUGAUCAGAAGGCCGUGGGUUCAAAUCCCAGGUCUAUCAAGCUUUUGUGGACACAAUUGGUGAAUUCUCUGGUGUGCUGCUGAGAGACGGGGUGUAUGGAUGCCAGCCUUUUCUCCUAACACCUUUCACAGACCCACAGGAAGCACAGCAGGCCUACAACCAUGCCAGGGCCAGAGUUGAAAUUAAUAUAGCGCCUUUCAAAGGACCCAAGGUGAAUUCUCUGGUGUGUUGCUGAGAGACGGGGUGUAUGGAUGCCAGCCUUUUCUCCUAACACCUUUCACAGACCCACAGGAAGCACAGCAGGCCUACAACCAUGCCAGGGCCAGAGUUGAAAUGGCCUUUGGCCUCCUGAAGGCAUGCUUUCACUGCCUUCACAAAUUAAGGGUCAGGCCUGUGAGGGCAUGUGGCAUUACUGUGGCUUGUGCUGUCCUCCACAAUGUGGCCUGCCUGAGUAAGGAGAGGGUCCCCAGAGUGCCACCAGCCAUGGACUGGGACAAUCCGGCAAUCUUCCCUGAUGACGACAGUGGUCGGCUGCUGAGGGACCAAUGUGUGUUAAAUUAUUUUAGUUAGUAUGUGUGCUUUCAAUUUUGGUUAAAUGUCCUACGGUGGCAGAGGAAUUUGGGGGUUUUUGUGUUCAAUAUACAGUGUAUAUAUAUAUUUUUAUAAUUGAUUUGGCCUCUUGUGAUGUUUGUGCUGUAUACUGUGUGUAAUACAAGCUUGCAGGGAGGCUACUGCAUCCAUUCACUUGUCUGUUCAGUUGAUGUGUAUGGAUUUGUCCUGCAUUUAUUUCAGUGUGCAGACAUGCGGGGUGUGUUAUAUACAGACCUUUGAAUGUGUAUUUAUCCUUUUGUUGUAUAAUAUGCUUUGAUUCUGUGCUUUCCAUCUUGUAGUCACUGUGUGGCUUCAGUGUCGAAAGGAGCUGAUGGUUUACCUGCUUUGUUUUAACCUUAUUCAAUAAAGGAACAUAAUGUUA